UGAGUAACCUGCCCUUAACUCUGGGAUAAGCCUGGGAAACUGGGUCUAAUACCGGAUAUGACUCCUCAUCGCAUGGGUGGGGGGUGGAAAGCUUUUUGUGGUUUUGGAUGGACUCGCGGCCUAUCAGCUUGUUGGUGAGGUAAUGGCUUACCAAGGCGACGACGGGUAGCCGGCCUGAGAGGGUGACCGGCCACACUGGGACUGAGACACGGCCCAGACUCCUACGGGAGGCAG
rnacentral:rRNA from 1 species